rnacentral:lncRNA from 10 species
GAUGAAUCAAAAGAGAAGAGGUUGCAUUGGUGAGACAGUAGUCUCAGUGUUUGUGAGGGUAGAAAAGAAUGAUCCUUGGAAGACAAGUGGGUUUGGGGGGCUCAGUGGGUAAAGCAAGAGAGCCAACCGGCAUUGGAUUGUCUUAGAUCCAGCCUGAGAAGAUCACCUGGAGGGGUAAAUAGACCUCAGCAGAGAGAAGCUGAAGGUACCACUGGAUGGCCAGGGGCAGAGGAAGGAUUAGCAAAAAGUUUUAAAAAAGCAUAUCACCCACAGCAAAAGAACUGCAGGCAAGAGUCUCCAGCUAUUGCAGGCAGGACAGGAUGAAUGGGUAGACUACAAAGAAUCUACAAAAUCCAGUCAGCCUAAACACCCGCCUUGGCCCGAAAGGAAGAGUUCUGCUUGUAACAGGUCUGGCCAGUGUCUUGAACAUACCAGGUGCUCAUUUAUUCAACCUUCAAACAGUCAGUAAGUACUGCUAUAUGCAAGCAUAUUGACUAGGAACUAGAAAUUGAGGAAGGACAAUGACACCGCCACUGUCCUCAACAGACACAAAAGACUAAUGAAUUGAUAACAGGUAACUUAAAAAAUGAAAAUAUAGAGCAUGAAGUGAUCUGUAGAUAUGCACAAAGUGCCAUUGGGACAGAAAAAGGAGUGACUAAUAUCUAGGAUGGUGGGGAAAUGACACGUGA